AGUUGUAUGGCGCAAUGGUAACGCGCUUGCUCUUGUAGCGGGAGGUCCUGGGUUUAACUCCCGGUGCGACCU
rfam:Gaeumannomyces graminis var. tritici R3-111a-1 unplaced genomic scaffold supercont2.2, whole genome shotgun sequence.